rnacentral:rRNA from 1 species
ACUCAAAUGAAUUGACGGGGGCCCGCACAAGCAGUGGAGCAUGUGGUUUAAUUCGAUGCAACGCGAAGAACCUUACCCAGGCUCGAAGUGUAGAGAAAAACAGCAGAGAUGUUGCGUCCCGAAAGGGGCUCUAUAUAGGUGCUGCAUGGCUGUCGUCAGCUCGUGCCGUGAGGUGUUGGGUUAAGUCCCGCAACGAGCGCAACCCUUAUUGUCAGUUGCCAACAUGUAAUGGUGGGGACUCUGGCAAGACUGCCUAGGUUAACUAGGAGGAAGGUGAGGAUGACGUCAAGUCCGCAUGGCCUUUAUGUCUGGGGCUACACACGUGCUACAAUGGUCGGUACAGAAGGCAGCGAAGCCGCGAGGCGAAGCAAAUCCGAAAAACCGAUCUCAGUUCAGAUUGCAGUCUGCAACUCGGCUGCAUGAAGUUGGAAUUGCUAGUAAUGGCGUGUCAGCAAUAGCGCCGUGAAUACGUUCCCGGGCCUUGUACACACCGCCCGU